rnacentral:lncRNA from 1 species
ACCAAUAAUAAAAUAUGAUGGCAUGAACAUAUAUAACAUGAGAUGACCAGAAAAUCAAAAAACUAUAUAUAAAGUACAAGCUAGCACGCUGCCAUGAAAGACUAUACAACAAAAAUUCAGCCGACAAAGCAUACAAAACUAUAUAUGAGUUGACACCUAUCUAUGAGCCUCUAAAGAAACAUAAGUGCUGCAACAUAGCCGGAACAGGACCCCGACAUACCCAUAAUGUCUAUAACAAAAAUGCAUACCAACACAACGUCAAGUCCGGAGAAGGAAUCUCACCAAUCACUGCUGAAUUGGACAUCCUACUUUGGUGGGGGAGCUGCACCUGCCUGUCUAUCAGGACCUGCAGCACGACAUGCAGCAUCCACAAAUGAAAAGAUGUCAGUAUGAAUAAUGUACUGAGUAGGUAAGGUAGGGAAUCAUAAGUACGAAUAGUAGUGUAAGCAGAGAUAGGGAAUAUACAACUUGUAACAUCUACGUACCUCUGAGGGCCACUGAUAUGAAAUGCAUGAUACAUAUAUAUACAUAUAUAUAUAUAUAUAUAUAUAUAUAUAUAUGUAUAUAUAUAUAUAUGUAUAUAUAUAUAUAUAUGUGUAUAUAUAUAUGUAUAUAUAUAUAAACUUUUAAAACAUACGCCUAUGUAGGCAUCAUAUUCAUCAUAUCAUCCUCGGCCAUAAUAGGCUCGGUAAAAAAAAGUAUCCGGCCAUCAUAAAGCUCAAUAUCGUACCCAGCCAUGUGCAGCUCAGUAAAUCCCAACUGAUUAGUGAUUACACAAUAGGUGUCGUACCCGAACGACUAUAGCACGGCUCGGUAGUGUAAAAUAGAUACAUAUAUAUAAUGUAUGCUUUACUCAUGAAAUCACGUUCUAAACCUUUCGGAGUGACGUAAGGUCGGUUCUAUAUACGUUAUUAGGACCGACUCUUCACUAUGAACCUUAUAAGAAUCAGGAAGUACCAACAAUAUUGAGAACAUGAGAAUAAGAUAAGCAUAUUAACAUCAGUCGUUCCAUAAGAGGGGAAACAGUGUAAAUACUGCUAGCUUCUAAGAGUAGAAAAGCUCAUUCAUUACAUUAUAUACAAUCGGAUACAUACAAAAGAAAGAAAUAGAUAGCUUCACAUACCUUGUAUAUGCUGCCCCAAUCUCAAGUUAUGAAGUUGCCACGAUUCCUUGGUCUACAAUAAGAGAAUAAAUUUUAUUGUUAUUAUUUCAGCGUUAUAACUAUUAUGUAUGGACCAUAAUCCAUUUAUAAUAAAAGGGGAAACAACUACCUACUUAUAUGACUUCCCACGAGUUAUAACAUCCAAUAACAACCAAUAUGCUCGAAUAUCAUAGCUUUGUACACUCUAUUAUUUCAAAUUCACGAAGCGUAAUAAUAACAUCACAACCACAAUACCAACUCAAAUCUACAACAAUGCCGACACUACCAUCGCAUAAUCAAAGAGCGACAAGCUCCUGAGGCUUUAAACAAUGGUGUACUCCACAACCGACCUCCGUUUGAGAACAACCAAGCUUUAUAUGAGCUACCACACAACCACCAAUCUUCAUACCAUAAGAAAAGAGCGCAUAACCUAUUUAUACAAUUACUACUACUUGAAUUCAACGCUUCUGAUCACCGUCCCGUGAGUUCUCAACAAUUACAUGCCUUAAAUUAAAACUUACCUUAACUGAAUGUAUGAAAAUAUGGACAAUUUAUACGUAGAGGAAACUUUGUGCACUUCACUGUUUGAGGAAAAAAGGAACGAGCAAAAUGGAGUUUCUCCCCACAUAGUUGCUGCAACGUGUGUGUGUAUAUAUAUAUAUAUAUACAUAUAUAUAUAACAAUUCCGUACUUUCCUCAAAUGAUAAGGUUUUUUCUUAAACACUAUUUAUAUAGAGGAUAAGGUCGACUGAAAUACACCCCACCACCAAACAUUUGCAACAGUCAUUUCUUAGUGUAGAAGAACUCUAUGUAUUUUGAUAUAUAGUCAAAAGAUUUGUCCUGUACCAAGACUCCACUAACUUUCAAAUUAAGUAAAAUAUCAUCACAUGACACGUAGUACUAGGAGGUCUCAUAAAUAGAUUACUACAUCUACUUUGAUAAAAUACUUGUUCCAAAAGUUAAUACUUUUCUAAUAAAAUAUGUGGCUAGUGUUAUUUACAAACUAAUCUAUCAAAUGGUAAUAAUUAUACAUAGUAACAAAAUAAGUAUUUUAAUAUUUUUAAAGGUUAGGGCAUUAAUAAAAUUAAAGGUUAGGGCAUUAAUAAAAAUAAAAU